UACGUAGGUGGCGAGCGUUGUCCGGAUUUAUUGGGCUUAAAGGGUGCGUAGGCGGCCCUAUAAGUCAGUGGUGAAAUAUCGCAGCUUAACUGUGAGGGUGCCAUUGAUACUGUAGGGCUUGAGUGAAUUUGAGGUAGGCGGAAUUGACGGUGUAGCGGUGAAAUGCUUAGAUAUCGUCAAGAACACCGAUAGUGAAGACAGCUUACCAAGCUUCAACUGACGCUGAGGCACGAAAGUGUGGGGAUCAAACAGG
rnacentral:rRNA from 1 species